GAUGAACGCCGGCGGCGUGCCUAACACAUGCAAGUCGAGCGAUCUCUUCGGAGAGAGCGGCGGACGGGUGAGUAACGCGUGGGUAACCUGCCCUGUACACACGGAUAACAUACCGAAAGGUAUACUAAUACGGGAUAAUAUAUGAAAGUCGCAUGGCUUUUGUAUCAAAGCUCCGGCGGUACAGGAUGGACCCGCGUCUGAUUAGCUAGUUGGUAAGGUAAUGGCUUACCAAGGCAACGAUCAGUAGCCGAACUGAGAGGGUGAUCGGCCACACUGAAACUGAGACACGGUCCAGACUCCUACGGGAGGCAGCAGUGGGGAAUAUUGCACAAUGGGCGAAAGCCUGAUGCAGCAACGCCGCGUGAGCGAUGAAGGCCUUCGGGUCGUAAAGCUCUGUCCUCAAGGAAGAUAAUGACGGUACUUGAGGAGGAAGCCCCGGCUAACUACGUGCCAGCCGCCGCGGUAA
rnacentral:rRNA from 1 species